CUGGUGGCGAGUGGCGAACGAGUGAGUAAUAUAUCGGAACGUGCCCAGUAGUGGGGGAUAACUGCUCGAAAGAGCAGCUAAUACCGCAUACGACCUGAGGGUGAAAGGGGGGGAUCGCAAGACCUCUCGCUAUUGGAGCGGCCGAUAUCAGAUUAGCUAGUUGGUGGGGUAAAGGCCUACCAAGGCAACGAUCUGUAGUUGGUCUGAGAGGACGACCAGCCCCUGGGACUGAGACCCGGCCCAGACUCCUACGGGAGGCAGCAGUGGGGAAUUUUGGACAAUGGGCGCAAGCCUGAUCCAGCCAUGCCGCGUGCGGGAAGAAGGCCUUCGGGUUGUAAACUGCUUUUGUCAGGGAAGAAAUCCUCUAGGUUAAUACCCUUGGGGGGAUGACGGU
rnacentral:rRNA from 1 species